UGAACCUGCGGAGGAUCAUUGCUGGAACGCGCUCCUGGCGCACUCAGUAACCCUUUGUGAACUUAUACCUUACUGUUGCCUCGGCGCAGGCCGUCCCCUAUGGGGUCCCUUGGAGACAAGGAGCAGCCGGCCGGUGGCCAAAUUAACUCUGUUUUUACACUGUAACUCUGAGUACAAAACAUAAAUGAAUCAAAACUUUCAACAACGGAUCUCUUGGUUCUGGCAUCGAUGAAGAACGCAGCGAAAUGCGAUAAGUAAUGUGAAUUGCAGAAUUCAGUGAAUCAUCGAAUCUUUGAACGCACAUUGCGCCCUCUGGUAUUCCGGAGGGCAUGCCUGUUCGAGCGUCAUUUCAACCCUCAAGCCUGGCUUGGUGUUGGGGCACUGCUUUUCCCAAAAAGCAGGCCCUGAAAUAUAGUGGCGAGCUCGCCAGGACUCCGAGCGUAGUAGUUAAACCCUCGCUUUGGAAGGCCUGGCGGUGCCCUGCCGUUAAACCCCAACUUUUGAAAAUUUGACCUCGGAUCAGGUAGGAAUACCCGCUGAACUUAAG
rnacentral:rRNA from 1 species